UCGUCAGCUCGUGUCGUGAGAUGUUGGGUUAAGUCCCGCAACGAGCGCAACCCCCGCCGCGUGUUGCCAUCGGGUGAUGCCGGGAACCCACGCGGGACCGCCGCCGUCAAGGCGGAGGAGGGCGGGGACGACGUCAAGUCAUCAUGCCCCUUAUGCCCUGGGCUGCACACGUGCUACAAUGGCCGGUACAGAGGGAUGCCACCCCGCGAGGGGGAGCGGAUCCCGGAAAGCCGGCCCCAGUUCGGAUUGGGGGCUGCAACCCGCCCCCAUGAAGUCGGAGUUGCUAGUAAUCGCGGAUCAGCAUGCCGCGGUGAAUGCGUUCCCGGGCCUUGUACACACCGCCCGUCACACCACCCGAGUCGUCUGCACCCGAAGUCGCCGGCCCAACCGAGAGGGGGGAGGCGCCGAAGGUGUGGAGGGUGAGGGGGGUGAAGUCGUAACAAGGUAGCCGUACCGGAAGGUGCGGCUGGAUCACCUCCUUU
rnacentral:rRNA from 1 species